GACGAACGCUGGCGGCGUGCUUAACACAUGCAAGUCGUACGGUAAGGCCCUUUCGGGGGUACACGAGUGGCGAACGGGUGAGUAACACGUGAGUAACCUGCCCACAACUUUGGGAUAACGCUAGGAAACUGGUGCUAAUACUGGAUAUGUGCUCCUGCUGCAUGGUGGGGGUUGGAAAGCUCCGGCGGUUGUGGAUGGACUCGCGGCCUAUCAGCUUGUUGGUGGGGUAGUGGCCUACCAAGGCGGCGGCGGGUAGCCGGCCUGAGAGGGUGACCGGCCACAUUGGGACUGAGAUACGGCCCAGACGCCUACGGGAGGCAGCAGUGGGGAAUAUUGCACAAUGGGCGCAAGCCGGAUGCAGCAACGCCGCGGGCGGGAUGACGGCCUUCGGGUUGUAAACCGCUUUCAGCAGGGACGAAGCUUUUUGUGACGGUACCUGCAGAAGAAGCACCGGCUAACUACGUG
rnacentral:rRNA from 1 species